AGAACCUUACCCACGCUUGACAUGCCAAGGAUCGUCGCCAGAGAUGGCUUCUUCCCUUCGGGGCCUUGGACACAGGUGCUGCAUGGCUGUCGUCAGCUCGUGUCGUGAGAUGUUGGGUUAAGUCCCGCAACGAGCGCAACCCUCGCCUUUAGUUGCCAGCAUGUUUGGGUGGGCACUCUAAAGGAACUGCCGGUGGCAAGCCGGAGGAAGGUGGGGAUGACGUCAAGUCCUCAUGGCCCUUACGCGUGGGGCUACACACGUGCUACAAUGGCGGUGACAGAGGGUUAAUCCCUAAAAGCCGUCUCAGUUCGGAUUGUCCUCUGCAACUCGAGGGCAUGAAGUUGGAAUCGCUAGUAAUCGCGGAUCAGAAUGCCGCGGUGAAUACGUUCCCGGGCCUUGUACACACCG
rnacentral:rRNA from 1 species